AGUAAAGACGAUAUCGUUGUCUACCCACUGCCGCUUGGGAGUGUUCUCGGAGUUGUCUGCCCCCCGAAGCCAUGGUCCUACCGAGAUCAUGUUGAUCACACCCGUUGUUAGUUGGACGUGAGUUUCUUCCUCAAGUUCCAGACGAGGUGGAUCAGAAGAUAGCUACGUAGGUCGCUGCUGUGCAUACUUUUUGAGAUAUCUCCACCUUAUUAGAUCUUUGAUCUCGUUCUUC
rnacentral:lncRNA from 1 species